AGUAAUGCGUGACCAACCUCGCCCCAUGCUCCAGAAUAGCUCUUGGAAACGGGUGGUAAUGCUGGAUGCUCCAACUUGACGCAUGUCUUGUUGGGAAAGUGUUUAGUGGCAUGGGAUGGGGUCGCGUCCUAUCAGCUUGUAGGCGGGGUAAUGGCCCACCUAGGCUUCGACGGGUAGCCGGCCUGAGAGGGCGGACGGCCACAUUGGGACUGAGAUACGGCCCAGACUCCUACGGGAGGCAGCAGUU
rnacentral:rRNA from 1 species